rnacentral:lncRNA from 1 species
UUUGACAGUUUACUAACCCACCAGUUCGAAGAAACUGUGCAUUAAGUGGCGUGAGGGAAACUGCCCGAAACCGUCAACUUUCUUCCUCUAUUUGAAUAGUCCUCAUACAACACAAAGAAUACACACGAAAAAUUUCUUGCAUACAUACAUCAUACAUCUCUUCUUCCUUGCAUCAGUCUGCAGAGAGUAUUUUCAUUUUUUCUGGUUCGUUGUCUUGCAGUCGAAGUGCUGCUUCUGCAAGUGUGAUCGUUGUAUCUUGGGAGACACUUUACCACAUACCGUAAGCACCGUGUGACGGGGUAAAAACGUCUUAAGGACAGAGAGCCUAGUUCUCGCCUCGAUCAUCCUCUUUCCGAAUUCUGGACUUCUUUCUUUUCAUAAUUUUUCGAACAUAAUAUUCUACUUUACUGUUUC